GCCACGGUAGCUCAGUGGCAGAGCAUCUACCUUGCAUGCAGGAGGUCCCAGGUUCAAUCCCCCAUGGCA
rnacentral:tRNA from 1 species